UUGAGAGGAGGAGCAUAUCUCAUCUUUCGAAGGAAGCAGAGGAAAGAAGGUCUUCUCAUCCAGCUUUGCUGGGCUCAGUAAGUUGAGAUCUGUGUCUCUAGCAGGAGAUUGUGGUCCGGGAAGGCCAAGAGUCAGUUCUGUGGCUUUGAGACUGAUAGUGGCUUUGUCAUCUUCUGCGAGGCCCGAGAGAGUUGAACUCCCAACAGAAGAACAAUCAGACAGACCCAAGUAGUUAUGCUCCUUAAGUCCUCCUCCUGCUGUGUUCCUCGAGAUGCAAUUGCUAGUAGGUGAAGAACUUGCCACAGAGACAUUGCUCUGUAGCUCCUCUUCUGGACACAUUUAGAUUCUUUUGGUUUCUCCACACUGCAAAGCAGCUUACCUGAUUUACACAGCAUUAACUCAUCCACACCAAAUUCACAUAACCAUACACUCACAAAAAAAUCAAGAACUUCAAAAUUCCAGGCUCGAAGAAACUCAGAACCAUAUUUCUAGACACGAGGAAAAAUUCUUCUUCUAAAUCAGUCAAAACUAGGAGAACCGCUUCGGAAUCAAGGAUUCUAAACACAGACAACCAAAAAGUUGCUGAAAACAAAAAAAAAAACAAGUCAACUCAGGGUCAGACGCAGAACUUGAGCUGAUCUCAGAUUUUACCUUAAAGAUCGAUUUGUAUCUACAACAGUCACUAGAGAUUACCGAGCGUGUUUAGGCCAUGCGGAUAAGCUAACGGAAACCGCAAUUCGCCAUAGAUAUUAACCCCUUAGUGUGAAAAAAUAAUUAUAAUAGCUCGUAGAUCUAGUAACUGCUAACACAUAUUCACACACAAACAUCUACAAAACGAAGCUGGAUUACAUGAAUUUGAACAUCCAAGAAGAGAGAAGAAAUGGUUACCUAAAUAAAAAAAGGAAAACAAAUCGCUGAUGAAAACGGAGCUCACGCCGAAGAAGACGAUCGAUUACGGUCAGAUAUUCGCAGAGAAGAGAAUAAUUAGAAGAGGACUAGCAGAGAGAGAGAGAGAAAGGUGUCAAGGUCCUUCCAUUAAAGCAGAAAAGCUUUAAUUAUCAUCACCCAGAAACUCGUAGCCGAGAUGAAAAAAGAAAUAAAUAUAAAAACUAAGAACAGCAAAAUUAAAGAAAGUGGCAGAAUGGGAAAUAAGUGGGGAAAAGUUGGGCAAUAUUUUGUUCACGGUUUCUUUAUGACGGAUUCUGAUCCGACGGUUCUUAUUUAAUCCAGAAGAGAAAUACCAACGGAUGUGAACC
rnacentral:lncRNA from 1 species